GUGGUAGGAGAGCGUUCUAUUCAGCGUUGAAGGUAUACCGGUAAGGAGUGCUGGAGCGGAUAGAAGUGAGCAUGCAGGCAUGAGUAGCGAUAAAAGGGGUGAGAAUCCCCUUCGCCGUAAACCCAAGGUUUCCUACGCGAUGCUCGUCAUCGUAGGGUUAGUCGGGUCCUAAGCAAAGUCCGAAAGGGGUAUGCGAUGGAAAAUCGGUUAAUAUUCCGAUACCAAUAUUAGUGUGCGAUGGAAGGACGCUUAAAGUUAGUGGAGCUAGCGGAUGGAAGUGCUAGUCUAAGGAUGUAGAUUAAGUGGUAGGCAAAUCCGCCACUUUUUAUUCGAGAUCUUAAAGGCUCUCCAAAGUCUUCGGAUAGCGGGGAGAAUCCAUAAUACUAUCGAGCCAAGAAAAGUUUCUAAGUUUAGCUAAUAUUGCCCGUACCGUAAACCGACACAGGUGGGUGGGAUGAGUAUUCUAAGGCGCGUGGAAGAACUCUCUUUAAGGAACUCUGCAAAAUAGCACCGUAUCUUCGGUAUAAGGUGUGCCUAACUUUGUAUUAAGAUUUACUCCCAAAGCAAAGAAGGUUACAACAAAGAGUCCCUCCCGACUGUUUACCAUAAACACAGCACUCUGCUAACUCGUAAGAGGAUGUAUAGGGUGUGACGCCUGCCCGGUGCUCGAAGGUUAAUUGAUGGGGUUAGCAUUAGCGAAGCUCUUGAUCGAAGCCCGAGUAAACGGCGGCCGUAACUAUAACGGUCCUAAGGUAGCGAAAUUCCUUGUCGGUUAAAUACCGACCUGCAUGAAUGGCGUAACGAGAUGGGAGCUGUCUCAAAGAGGGAUCCAGUGAAAUUGUAGUGGAGGUGAAAAUUCCUCCUACCCGCGGCAAGACGGAAAGACCCCGUGGACCUUUACUACAGCUUGACACUGCUAUUUGGAUAAAGAUGCGCAGGAUAGGUGGGAGGCUUUGAUCCAUAGACUCCGGUUUAUGGUGAGCCAUUGUUGAGAUACCACUCUUCUUUAUUUGAGUAGCUAACUAGCUUGCGUUAUCCGCAAGUAGGACAAUGUCUGGUGGGUAGUUUGACUGGGGCGGUCGCCUCCCAAAAUGUAACGGAGGCUUACAAAGGUUGGCUCAGAACGGUUGGAAAUCGUUCGUAGAGUAUAAAGGCAUAAGCCAGCUUAACUGCAAGACAUACACGUCAAGCAGAGACGAAAGUCGGUCUUAGUGAUCCGGUGGUUCUGUGUGGAAGGGCCAUCGCUCAAAGGAUAAAAGGUACCCCGGGGAUAACAGGCUGAUCUCCCCCAAGAGCUCACAUCGACGGGGAGGUUUGGCACCUCGAUGUCGGCUCAUCGCAUCCUGGGGCUGGAGCAGGUCCCAAGGGUAUGGCUGUUCGCCAUUUAAAGCGGUACGCGAGCUGGGUUCAGAACGUCGUGAGACAGUUCGGUCCCUAUCUGCCGUGGGCGUAAGAAGAUUGAGGAGAGUUGACCCUAGUACGAGAGGACCGGGUUGAACCAGCCACUGGUGUAUCAGUUGUUCUGCCAAGAGCAUCGCUGAGUAGCUAAGCUGGGAUGUGAUAAGAGCUGAAAGCAUCUAAGCUCGAAGCCAACUCCAAGAUGAAUCUUCUUUUAAGAGCUCGGAAAGACUAUCCGUUUGAUAGGCUGGGUGUGUAAGUGAUGAAAGUCAUUUAGCUGACCAGUACUAAUAGCUCGUUUGCUUAUCUUUAU
rnacentral:rRNA from 1 species